rnacentral:tRNA from 1 species
UAAAUUGAACUUCAUAGGAUAAAUUAACUAAUUUGCAAAUAGUUUUAUUUGAUAAAAUCAAAUUAUCUUAC